UAUUCAACUACUAAAACCAACCA
rnacentral:tRNA from 3 species